GACGAACGCUGGCGGCGUGCUUAACACAUGCAAGUCGAACGGAAAGGCCCUGCCUUUGUGGGGUGCUCGAGUGGCGAACGGGUGAGUAACACGUGAGUAACCUGCCCUUGACUUUGGGAUAACUUCAGGAAACUGGGGCUAAUACCGGAUAGGAGCUCCUGCUGCCUGGUGGGGGUUGGAAAGUUUCGGCGGUUGGGGAUGGACUCGCGGCUUAUCAGCUUGUUGGUUGAGUAGUGGCUUACCAAGUCUUUGACGGGUAGCCGGCCUGAUAGGGUGACCGGCCACAUUGCAACUGAGAGACGACCCAGACUGCUAUGCGAGGCAGCAGGGGAGUAUUCUACACAAUGGGCGGAGGUCUAAUAAAACAACGCAACAUACCGGCUGACCGCCAUCCAGCUGUAAUCCCCUUUCUCCUGAGACGCUGCGUGAUUGACCGUAAUGGGUAAAGAAGCACCGGCUAACUACGUG
rnacentral:rRNA from 1 species